UACGUAGGGUGCAAGCGUUGUCCGGAAUUAUUGGGCGUAAAGAGCUCGUAGGCGGUUUGUCGCGUCUGCUGUGAAAACCCGAGGCUCAACCUCGGGCCUGCAGUGGGUACGGGCAGACUAGAGUGCGGUAGGGGAGAUUGGAACUCCUGGUGUAGCGGUGGAAUGCGCAGAUAUCAGGAGGAACACCGAUGGCGAAGGCAGGUCUCUGGGCAUUAACUGACGCUGAGGAGCGAAAGCAUGGGGAGCGAACAGG
rnacentral:rRNA from 1 species